UUGACAGCUCUGGAGACUGUGUAAUGGCAAAAGAGGUACGGAGGUAGCAGCAGCAGUAAUGUAUGUUUCCUUACCUUGUCCUGUGCCAAUGUGCCUUAACCAUGACCUGGAGGGAAAAUAGCUUGGGAUGAGAGGAUAGUUCAGUCUCCAUGGUUAUGCACUCCUGUUUAGAC
rnacentral:sRNA from 1 species